CAUGGGGAGCGAACAGGAUUAGAUACCCUGGUAGUCCAUGCCGUAAACGUUGGGCACUAGGUGUGGGGGACAUUCCACGUUUUUCCGCGCAGUAGCUAACGCAUUAAGUGCCCCGCCUGGGGAGUACGGCCGCAAGGCUAAAACUCAAAGGAAUUGACGGGGGCCCGCACAAGCGGCGGAGCAUGCGGAUUAAUUCGAUGCAACGCGAAGAACCUUACCAAGGCUUGACAUGAACCGGACCGGGCUGGAAACAGUCUUUCCCCUUGUGGGCUGGUUUACAGGUGGUGCAUGGUUGUCGUCAGCUCGUGUCGUGAGAUGUUGGGUUAAGUCCCGCAACGAGCGCAACCCUCGUUCUAUGUUGCCAGCACGUGAUGGUGGGGACUCAUAGGAGACUGCCGGGGUCAACUCGGAGGAAGGUGGGGACGACGUCAAAUCAUCAUGCCCCUUAUGUCUUGGGCUUCACGCAUGCUACAAUGGCCGGUACAAAGGGUUGCGAUACUGUGAGGUGGAGCUAAUCCCAAAAAGCCGGUCUCAGUUCGGAUUGGGGUCUGCAACUCGACCCCAUGAAGUCGGAGUCGCUAGUAAUCGCAGAUCAGCAACGCUGCGGUGAAUACGUUCCCGGGCCUUGUACACACCGCCCGUCAAGUCACGAAAGUUGGUAACACCCGAAGCC
rnacentral:rRNA from 1 species